CUUGUAUUGCUGAGGUUUGCUACCAACUAGGUGGGUUUGGCUAUGGAACUUGUCUAGUGCCCUCUGUUGGUAGCAACAGCAAUAUGCACUACCUGAAUUGCAAGACUGGUUCAUUUGCAUAUUCGGGUAGAUUUGCAUAUUGCUAAUUCUGCAGGCAGGUGAGAUAUUUACUGUUAAAUAUUGUCUCCCCCCCACCCCUUUAAACAUGUGCCAUUGUGUUGUGAUAAGUCACUGUGUGUUGCUU